UUGUGCCUCUGCAGUCCAGCCUGGGCGACAGAGAAAGACCCUGUCUCUUAAAAAAAAAAAAAUCUUAGAUAAGAGGAUGCUGUGCCUCCCUGGGGGUCUUCAGUCACCCAUAGUCCUGGCAAGAGAGGAGGGCCAGGAGAGAGCUUCACCCACCUGCUGUCCUGCCCAUGUGACAUCCGCAGGUGCUGCCAUGGCCACGACUGAUGUUACACUCGAGCUGAGGAGGCCGGCUGCAGCCCCAAGACAGAGCGCUACUCCUGGCAGUGCGUCAAUCAGAGCGUCCUGUGCGAGUCUCGCUCUGUCGCACAGUCUGGAGUGCAAUGGCGUGAUCUCGGCCCACUAAAACCCCCACCUCCUGAAUCUAAGCAAUUCUCCUGUCUCAGCCUCCUGAGUAGCUGGGACUACAGGCUCACACCACCAUGCCCGGCUAAUUUUUGUAUUUUUAGUAGGGACGAGGUUUUGCCAUAUUGGUCAGGCUGGUCUCAAAGUCCUGGCCUCCGGUGAUCCACCAGCCUCAGCCUCCCAAAAUGCUGGGAUUAGAGGCAUGAGUCACCAUGCCCAGCCUAAACUUGGCAAGAUAAUAAAUCACCUUUUUAAGUGUCGUUGGGCACUUGUCUGGUUGUUUUUCUUUAGGUUACCAUGCCAGCAAUGAUUCCUUUUGAGUUUCUGACAGAAGAUAGUGGUUUUCAUCCAAAUAAGUCAACUACUCUACCCCAUCCCUAAGCCACUUGUAUGGAAAGAAAAAGAGGAAGAAGCCAGUACUGUGACUGCGUAAGCUUCCCCCAGCAUCACCGGCUAUGAGAUGUGUGGCAGCUGAGACCCGGGAACUGCUCAAGGGCACCAGGCCCCAUCUGUCUGCACUCACUCACCUUCCUCAGGUACUCGCAUGGGCAUGUCACUGACUUUACAUGCUGCUGCAGCUCCUUGGUGAGCUGGCCCUGGUCAUGGGACAGGAACUGUGGGGUCAGGACAAUAGAGAGCUUCACCAUUUGCAGAAUGAGAACAGGGGCUCAUGAUGAGUGCCAACCUAUUAGAUAAUUUAAAAAAAAAAGUGUUGAAUGAGUGGAAAAACAAGGUGAUGUUUGAGUCUAUAGUGGUCAAGGGCUUCAGAAAAGGACAGAACCAAGUUCAAAUUCCUGUACUUUGAAUUUCUACUUCAUGCCAUGCAAAAUUACUUUACCCCUUUUAACCUCAGUUUUCUUCUGUGUGAAACAGGAACAAUAGUUUCAUUCGUCAUUCAGUUUCUCUCAAGAUUUCACGAGAUCAUACCUAUAAAACAUCCAAGUCAUUUAAAUGUAUCAUCAUUUCUGUCAUAAUUAGUGGGAUCCAUUUCACUAUUAUUGGAUAUACAGUUCUGUGCCUGAAACCUA